AGAGAGAAGCUUGCUUCUCUUGAGAGCGGCGGACGGGUGAGUAAUGCCUAGGAAUCUGCCUGGUAGUGGGGGAUAACGUUCGGAAACGGACGCUAAUACCGCAUACGUCCUACGGGAGAAAGCAGGGGACCUUCGGGCCUUGCGCUAUCAGAUGAGCCUAGGUCGGAUUAUCUAGUUGGUGGGGUAAUGGCUCACCAAGGCGACGAUCCGUAACUGGUCUGAGAGGAUGAUCAGUCACACUGGAACUGA
rnacentral:rRNA from 1 species